AACGAACGCUGGCGGCAUGCCUAACACAUGCAAGUCGAACGGGAUCCUGGUUUCGGCCAGGUGAGAGUGGCGGACGGGUGAGUAACGCGUGGGAACCUGCCCAGUGGUGGGGGAUAACUGCGGGAAACUGCAGCUAAUACCGCAUGAGCCCGCAAGGGGAAAGAUUGAUCGCCAUUGGAGGGGCCCGCGUUCGAUUAGGUAGUUGGUGAGGUAACGGCUCACCAAGCCUACGANCGAUAGCUGGUCUGAGAGGAUGAUCAGCCACACUGGGACUGAGAUACGGCCCAGACUCCUACGGGAGGCAGCAGUGGGGAAUAUUGGACAAUGGGGCAACCCUGAUCCAGCAAUGCCGCGUGAGUGAUGAAGG
rnacentral:rRNA from 1 species